rnacentral:rRNA from 1 species
UACGUAGGGUGCGAGCGUUAAUCGGAAUUACUGGGCGUAAAGCGUGCGCAGGCGGUUCGUUAUGUCCGAUGUGAAAGCCCCGAGCUUAACUUGGGAAUGGCAUUGGAAACUGGCGGGCUGGAGUGCGGCAGAGGGGGGUGGAAUUCCACGUGUAGCAGUGAAAUGCGUAGAUAUCGGGAGGAAUACCGAUGGCGAAGGCAGGUCUCUGGGCUGACACUGACGCUCAUGCACGAAAGCGUGGGGAGCAAACAGG